CGCGUAGGCGGAUGAUUAAGUCAGAUGUGAAAGCCCCGGGCUCAACCUGGGAACUGCAUUUGAGACUGGUCGUCUAGAGUACAGAAGAGGGGGGUGGAAUUCCAGGUGUAGCGGUGAAAUGCGUAGAGAUCUGGAGGAACAUCAGUGGCGAAGGCGACCCCCUGGGCUGAUACUGACGCUGAGAUGCGAAAGCGUGGGUAGCGAACA
rnacentral:rRNA from 1 species